CUACGGGUGGCAGCAGUGAGGAAUAUUGCACAAUGGGGGGAACCCUGAUGCAGCAACGCCGCGUGGAGGAUGACGCAUUUCGGUGUGUAAACUCCUUUUAUAUGUCAAGAAAAUGACGGUAGCAUAUGAAUAAGCACCGGCUAACUCCGUGCCAGCAGCCGCGGUAAUACGGAGGGUGCAAGCGUUACUCGGAAUCACUGGGCGUAAAGGACGCGUAGGCGGGUUGGAAAGUCAGGUGUGAAAGCCUACAGCUGAACUGUAGAACUGCACUUGAAACUUCUAAUCUAGAGUAUGGGAGGGGGAGAUGGAAUUAGUGGUGUAGGGGUAAAAUCCGUAGAUAUCACUAGGAAUACCUAAAGCGAAGGCGAUCUCCUGGAACAUUACUGACGCUAAGGCGUGAAAGCGUGGGGAGCAAACAGGAUUAGAUACCCCCGUAGUC
rnacentral:rRNA from 1 species